rnacentral:lncRNA from 7 species
AGAACCAGAGCCUCGCACAGGCACAGGCACAGGCAGCCUGUCUCAGCACAGCUUUGCUGGCCUCUCCGUGCUCAGCAGAGGACUUUCUCCCUCCCCCAGCAUGCUUUGCUGGGGCCAACCCUUUAAAUUUGGCAAACCUGAGCUCUCCCAGCACUAUGUGGUCACGGCAGCGGGCUGCUGUUGGCUGCACCUCUGAGAUUCCCAGCAGCUGAUGGCGAAAGCAGCGCGACCAAACUCCUUGCAACGUGGGUGUGCUGGCUGGAUGUGACUUCUCUGACAGAGAGAGAGCGCUGCGGCGAGCAGCUCAGCUACUCCAGAGGAAAAUGAAGCGCGAAAGAAACAAGCAGAUUGUUAGCAAGACCUUUCCCUCCGCUGCCAGAUGCUCAUUUCAACCUGCGUCCUACGGCGAUUUCUGUCUGGCUGCACGCGAUCAGACUGCAGGUGGAAAUGCUGGCUGUGCAGCUCCCCCGGUUACAAAGACAGAAAGGAAAGGCUGUAUUUUCAGUCCAGAUCUCCCCCUGACCCCCGCGAUAAGCAUCUCCAGGCCUGCGGAGGAAGCGCCCUACGCAGCUGCUGGCAAGGAGAGGACAAUGAUUUAUCUGUCUGUGCAAAGAGCUCAGUGCAAAGCAGGCUCUCCGGAGCUGGGGCAUCAAUCACAGCUGGCCCCUUCCCACGUGACCGAGCAGCCACGGAGCAGCGUGGGGUGCACAGACUGCCCAGGGGGAGGCGUGUGGGCUGGCGUUAUUUACCCAGCCCUUCCCCAGCCUCUGCCCCACUCCAUCCCUGUGGGCUCUGCUGCAGCUCCAGCAGCGACAGCGGUUCUCGAAUGAAAUGUGUUCCUCCACCUCCGUUAAGCCCCUGUUCCCGCUUCCUCCCCGCGCUGGAGGAAUCAAUCCCGCAUUAAAUAGAUUGAUUCGGCUCUCAGGUUUUCCAUGACCAAGCACUCUUGCCAGCCCUUGCCCAGCAGCACUUAUUUAUCUGUGUAAGCGAGGACAGUGCUGAGCUGCAGCCUUUCACAGCCAGGCUCACGGUGUGACAGCAGCUGAGUUUGCUGUGCUGUCAGAAAUAAAUCUGCUCUAC